UUCCGGUUGAUCCUGCCGGAGGCUACCGCUAUUGGAGUUCGAUUAAGCCAUGCGAGUCGCGAGAAAUUAGAUUCUCGGCGUACCGCUCAGUAACACGUGGGUAACCUGCCCUAUGCUGGAUAAUAACCUCGGGAAACUGAGAAUAAUGAUCCAUAGUUCACUACGCCUGGAACGGUGAGUGGAUGAAAGCCCCGGCGGCAUAGGAUGGGCCUGCGGCGUAUCAGGUUGUAGGGGGUGUAACGUACCCUCUAGCCCUCUACGCGUACGGGUGUUGGGAGACAUAGCCCGGAGAUGGAUUCUGAGACACGAAUCCAGACCCUACGGGGUGCAGCAGGCGCGAAAACUUGGCAAUGCGAGAAAUCGUGACCAGGGAACUCCAAGUGCAUCGGGUAAGACCGGUGCUUUUCUUGACUCUAAAUAGGUCUUGGAAUAAGGGGUGGGUAAGGACGGUGCCAGCCGCCGCGGUAAUACCGGCGCCUCAAGUGGUAGUCGCUUUUAUUGGGCCUAAAACGUCCGUAGCCGGUCUGAUACAUUCGUGGGUAAAUCAACCAGCUCAACUGGUUGAAUUCUGCGAGGACGGUCAGACUUGGGACCGGGAGAGGUGUGGGGUACGCUCAGGGUAGGGGUAAAAUCCUGUCAUCCUGAGCGGACCACCUGUUGCGAAGGCGCCGCACUAGAACGGAUCCGACGGUCAGGGACGAAGCCUAGGGGCACGAACCGGAUUAGAUACCCGGGUAGUCCUAGGUGUAAACGCUGUGGACUUGAUGUUGGGGGUGCUCCGAGCACUCUCAGUGUCGAAGCGAAGGUGAUAAGUCCACUGCCUGGGAAGUACGGUCGCAAGGCUGAAACUUAAAGGAAUUGGCGGGGGAGCACCGCAACCUGAGGAUUGUGCGGUUUAAUUGGAUUCAACGCCGGA
rnacentral:rRNA from 1 species